ensembl:lncRNA
ACAUCUCGUAGUCAGUACUGUUUCUAUGUGCUGCUGCAUUUGUUUUGUUUCAAAAUGUCAGCGUUAUUUGAAGCUGGCCAUGACUGAAUUUUGCCAGAUUCUUCAGUUUGGGGCUUUCAUUGCUGUUUAUGUCCAUCAGUAUUAAUGCGACUAUUUUCUUGGUUUUGAAUAAUCAUAAGUCGGUGGAGUUAAUGCAAUAUUAUAAUCCUGGACUUUCAGUACAUUUGAAACGAUUUUAAAAAAUUGUGUUCUUGGAAUUUAUUUAUUUAUGGUGGCACCAGUGUAUCUAAUCCAUAUUUCCUGCUGUGUGAAACCCUGUUAAAUUUUUUUCAUUAAAACAAGAAGACACGAUCUUGUUUAAUCCUGUAUAUAUGGUGUCUACAUUCUAGAUUUGUGUAUGCUGUGAAUGAACUUAUUACUAAGAGAUGAAAUUGUAUAAAGGCAUUCAGAGGCUAUGCAUGCAUGGUACCUCCAGAAAGUGCAUACUCCGAGUUGCAGACUCCUGCAAAAUAAAUUAAUAAAACUAAGCAAACAUCACAUCCUGCAUUUGUUCUUGUAUAUAGUAGGAGAGAUUUAAAAAUACAGCCUUCUUGCUUUCAUCAUCAAGUUGUCUCUAGUCUUCAGCUUGAUCCUGCAGCUAUAGCAAAUCUCUUUCAGGGGAUGGGGAUUUUCUUCUUGUGGUCAACGUGAUUCUCAUGAGGCAAUGGCUGAAUAUUGAACUGAGGUCCAAAUCCUGUUUCUCUGAAUGUCAUCAGGUUGUAUUAGCAGGUGUCCCACUGAGAUGAUGGGUAUUCUGUGCAGUUCCUGGUGUAGAAACGGGGCACAGGAUGUUCAGUGCUAGUAACUUUUUUCUUAUUCCUGAAUGGAACCUUGUUAUUAAAGGAAUAGCUUUAUACACUUAUAGCAGCUUUAGUUUGCAGUUUUGAUUACAGGCAUUCCCACUUAUCCAACGCAGUAUUGAGGAUAUGAUAACAGAAUUCUUUCUUCAGCUCCAGCCUCUAAGAGAAGGGCUUUGUGGCAGAGCAGAGAAGCUGAGUAGCGUAAAAACAAAUUGUCUGCAUACCAGCUUAUUAGUAUACACUCUUAAUAACCUUGACAGUUACAGUUCGCCAUACCAUAUCGCUUGAAAGCUCUGUAGCUGUAUUACAGCUGUAUUUUUAUUCACAUCACAAUUUCAGUCAUAAAACGGAUUCUGGUCU